rnacentral:tRNA from 1 species
GGUUGGAUGGCUGAGUAUAAAGGCGAUAAAUUGUAAAUUUAUAGACGAAAUAAAGUUUCUCUGACUA